UAGUGUAGUGGUUAGCAUGUCUGCUUUACACGCAGAAGGUCCUGGGUUCACACCCCAG
rnacentral:tRNA from 1 species